rnacentral:piRNA from 1 species
UGAGCAUCAGGUAUGUUGCCAUUAUAUGGUC